GGUUAAGCGACUAAGCGUACACGGUGGAUGCCCUGGCAGUCAGAGGCGAUGAAGGACGUGCUAAUCUGCGAUAAGCGUCGGUAAGGUGAUAUGAACCGUUAUAACCGGCGAUUUCCGAAUGGGGAAACCCAGUGUGUUUCGACACACUAUCAUUAACUGAAUCCAUAGGUUAAUGAGGCGAACCGGGGGAACUGAAACAUCUAAGUACCCCGAGGAAAAGAAAUCAACCGAGAUUCCCCCAGUAGCGGCGAGCGAACGGGGAGGAGCCCAGAGCCUGAAUCAGUGUGUGUGUUAGUGGAAGCGUCUGGAAAGGCGCGCGAUACAGGGUGACAGCCCCGUACACAAAAAUGCACAUACUGUGAGCUCGAUGAGUAGGGCGGGACACGUGGUAUCCUGUCUGAAUAUGGGGGGACCAUCCUCCAAGGCUAAAUACUCCUGACUGACCGAUAGUGAACCAGUACCGUGAGGGAAAGGCGAAAAGAACCCCGGCGAGGGGAGUGAAAAAGAACCUGAAACCGUGUACGUACAAGCAGUGGGAGCCUCUUUUAUGGGGUGACUGCGUACCUUUUGUAUAAUGGGUCAGCGACUUAUAUUCUGUAGCAAGGUUAACCGAAUAGGGGAGCCGAAGGGAAACCGAGUCUUAACUGGGCGUUAAGUUGCAGGGUAUAGACCCGAAACCCGGUGAUCUAGCCAUGGGCAGGUUGAAGGUUGGGUAACACUAACUGGAGGACCGAACCGACUAAUGUUGAAAAAUUAGCGGAUGACUUGUGGCUGGGGGUGAAAGGCCAAUCAAACCGGGAGAUAGCUGGUUCUCCCCGAAAGCUAUUUAGGUAGCGCCUCGUGAAUUCAUCUCCGGGGGUAGAGCACUGUUUCGGCAAGGGGGUCAUCCCGACUUACCAACCCGAUGCAAACUGCGAAUACCGGAGAAUGUUAUCACGGGAGACACACGGCGGGUGCUAACGUCCGUCGUGAAGAGGGAAACAACCCAGACCGCCAGCUAAGGUCCCAAAGUCAUGGUUAAGUGGGAAACGAUGUGGGAAGGCCCAGACAGCCAGGAUGUUGGCUUAGAAGCAGCCAUCAUUUAAAGAAAGCGUAAUAGCUCACUGGUCGAGUCGGCCUGCGCGGAAGAUGUAACGGGGCUAAACCAUGCACCGAAGCUGCGGCAGCGACGCUUAUGCGUUGUUGGGUAGGGGAGCGUUCUGUAAGCCUGCGAAGGUGUGCUGUGAGGCAUGCUGGAGGUAUCAGAAGUGCGAAUGCUGACAUAAGUAACGAUAAAGCGGGUGAAAAGCCCGCUCGCCGGAAGACCAAGGGUUCCUGUCCAACGUUAAUCGGGGCAGGGUGAGUCGACCCCUAAGGCGAGGCCGAAAGGCGUAGUCGAUGGGAAACAGGUUAAUAUUCCUGUACUUGGUGUUACUGCGAAGGGGGG
rnacentral:rRNA from 1 species